UUAAGUUCAGCGGGUAUUCCUACCUGAUCCGAGGUCAACCUUGUGAAAAUUAAGGGGUUUCACGGCUGAAAACCCGCCGCGAGCCACAGAAGCGAGGUGUAAACUACUACGCUCAGGGUCACGGCGACAUCGCCACUAUCUUUCAGGGCCUGCUGCAAGCAGCAGAAGCCCCAACACCAAGCACUAAAGCGCUUGAGGGU
rnacentral:misc_RNA from 1 species